GUUUCUUGAUCCAAUAACUGAAUAACACAAAUUUUGCUGCAAUUACCAUCUUCAUACAUCAGCUUAACUACGGAGGAGUAUUUAACCCAUGUGAAUUACAUCAAAAUGAAAGUAAACAUAUUCCCUUACUUCCUUUGUAGUUUGUAUUGUCCUUCAUUCUAACCAAAAAAAAAAUUAAAGCAUCACUAAAAUUAAUAAAUUGGAUUUGAUCUCAAAUCUUAAACAUCAUCUCUCAAGACUUUAACCAAUUAAACCACGAAAAUUAUAACAAUUUUAUAAUCUUUAAGAUUGCGUAGACUAGUAUGAUAUUUAGAGAACAACAAUGAGCAGGGGUGAGAAUCGAUCUCAUAACUUUUUAAAAAUGGGAGGAAAGCUCUAACCACUUGUAUUAUCUCUCACUCUCACAGUUAUACACUUAGAUGUAACCUUAAUUCGUUAAGGGUGACAUACUGACAUGUAUAUCAUCAUUUUCCUAAAAAUAAAAACAAAACCAAAAAAUCUUUUUAAUUUCUUGUUUCCUCCCCCCUGCAAUUUGCAAAUUAACAAUUCCCCAUUAAUGAAAUGAUUCUUGUCUUGAAAUUGCAAUAAAAAUCUUCAAUUUCCACCAAUUUUAGAUCUCCCCCCAAAAAAUUAAGAAGCAGAAACAGAGAGAGAAAUGGAGAAUAGGGAAGAAGGAGAAGGGGAAGAAGGAGGAGAGAGAAUGGGGUUGGAUCAACUUCCAUCAGCUUUGCUUGCUACGAUUAUUUCAAAGUUAGACAUGGCGUCAAUCUGUUCCGUCGCUUCUACUUGUCGCACUUUCAAUUCCUGCGCUUCUCAUAUUAUGACUUUCCUUCCUACUGUUCACCUCCUUGAUGUUGCACCAUCAAUGGAUCUGUUGGCUCCCUUAUUGCCCCCAAACCCUUAUCUCACAAGCCUGAAAGUUGACUGUUGCCGGCUUGAUGACUCUGCGAUUACUCAACUCAUUCGGCCCUCUUUACAUGAGCUUUUUCUUCAUAAUUGUGGUGAUUUUAGUGGUAGAUUGCUCUCUGAGAUUGGUGCUAAAUGUCGUGAUAUUAGGUCUCUCUACCUAGGGUGUGUGGGCGACAAAAGAGGUCGUGCAAUUCAUAUAUCUGAUCUGGAGGAAUUACUCAGAGGUUGCAAUGAACUGGAAACUCUUAAUCUGAUGUUUGAUGUAUCAACAUUUCUUCGGCAUAAUUUUGCCCGAGCAUGGACUUUGGCUUCUGAUAAAUUAACUUCUCUAGAAAUCGGUUAUAUCUCGUCAGUCAUGGUGACAGAAUUGCUCAGCCCAACUCCUGGGCCUAGUCAGUUUCUGCAGCAAGAGCAGCCGCCUGUACUACCGAAUCUUCAGAAGUUGUGCCUUUCUGUAGAUUAUAUCACUGAUACUAUGAUCAACACAAUAUCCCAGAAUCUCACUUCAUUGACUCAUUUGGAUCUUCGAGAUGCACCUAUCAUUGAACCAAGGGUGACUUUUGACCUCACCAACAACGGUCUCCAGCAGAUAAACCGACAUGGAAAGUUGAAACAUCUUUCAUUGGUACGUAGCCAAGAGUUCCUCGUAACUUAUUAUCGUCGAGUCAAUGAUCUGGGUAUCCUCUUAAUGGCCGACAGUUGUGCAAGUAUGGAAAGUAUAUCUCUUGGUGGCUUUUGCCGUGUUACAGAUACAGGUUUCAGAGCUAUUUUACAUUCAUGCACUAACCUUUACAAGAUAAAAAUAUCACACGGGACUCAACUCACCGAUCUGGUUUUUCUGGACAUCUCAGCUACCCCUCUUUCAUUAACACAUGUUGGCUUGAGAUGGUGUAAUCUGCUGACCAAUCUUGCAAUUACACAUGUGGCAUCAAAUUUGGAUCUGACUGUGCUUGACCUGAGGGAUUGCAGAAGCCUUGGGGAUGAUACUCUGAUAGCAAUCAGCCGUCUUCCUAAAUUAAAGUCAUUACUUCUUGAUGGAUCUGAUAUAAGUGAUGUUGGAAUUUCACAUCUGAAGGAAAAGGCAGCUAGCUCACUAGUCUCUCUAUCUGUUAGAGGCUGCAAGAGACUUACAGAUAAAUGCAUCACCGCCUUAUUCAGUAGCACUUCAAAGCCCGUGUUGCAAGAACUGGACUUGUCAAAUCUGCCUAAUCUGAGUGACAAUGGAGUUCUACUCUUGGCUAAAAGCCGAGUUUCAAUUUGUGAACUCCGUAUGAGACAAUGUCCUCUCAUUGGUGACACUUCUGUCAUGGCAUUGGCCUCAAUGCAGGUUGAUGAUGAAAGAUGGCAUGGCAACUGCCUACGUUUGCUGGAUCUCUAUAACUGUGGGCGUAUAUCCGCACUCUCAUUCCGCUGGCUGAAGAAGCCAUACUUUCCGAGGUUAAAAUGGUUGGGGGUGACUGGAAGUGUGAACAGGGACAUGGUGGAUGCAUUAGCUAGGAGUAGACCUUACUUGCAUGUUGCUGGUCGUGGUGAGGAGCUAGGAACUGGCCAAUGGGACCAUGCGGAUGGAUUUUACAUCCAUGAUUAUGAGGAAAUGGAUGAACUCGAAAGAUUUAUCUUGGAGGGUGAUGAUGUAGUAAGCGAUGAAGAAAUGGCAGAGGGUGCUGAACUUCAUGAAGAACUAGAGGAAUGAAAUGGCAGGUGUCUUUCAGGACUACAGGUACACCCGUUAGACUCGGUCCAAAGCAUUACAACUUAAUUUUCAUCAAAUUUGGCAAGUGCGCACAAGAUGAAGUUAUAUUCAGUCGUCUUCAACUCGUCUUGGUUUCAUAUGUAAAACGAAGCUCAAGUUUCCUCCUGAGUGAGUGUAAAAUUACUGUUUACUGCUGAGAACUAAGCAGCAAACUUCUCAUUAACUUAAUUUCCUGUUUUUACCAACCCACUAAACUAUAUACUGGUAAUAUAUCUCAAUUCUGGAAAUAUGCAACACUUUUCCGUUUGCAAAGUGUGAAGAGUUGCCUUCUGUUGACAAACAAAAUUCUGCGUCUCUUUUGACAAACAUAACAUUCGAUCUUUUGCUUCAGUCCGUCACCCUAUAUAAACCCUCUUGCAGGCAAUGGAAUGAUCAUUGCACCAUCCAUUCAUUCAACAUCCAUCUUAAAAUAGUGGUGGUAGUAUAUGUUACUGGUUUUAACAUACAAGUUCAAGAAACAUACCAACCACAUGGCUACCAUCAGGUCAUCAGCAUGUAUCCUAACCUUUACAUUACUGCUGGGAGUUUCUUUGUUGGGAACAUGCAUGGGCAACAAGGAGCCAGAGCCGACAACGACACAACGUCGGGGCAGGGGUUGGGGUUGGGGUUGGAGUCGCGGUGAAGGUGCAGGUUCUCCUCAGGGACAGGGUGGGUGGCCUGCUCCUGCUGGUUACAAUUUUAGCCGCAGUGGUUAUCCCUUGUCUCGCAGAAAUCGCACUAAUGGACCUAACAGGAUCAUUGUAGGAGGCUCCAACAAUUGGAGUUUUGGCUUCAAUUACUGUGAUUGGGCUUUCAAAAUUGGGCCGUAUUAUCUCAAUGAUGUCCUAGUGUUCAAAUAUAGUGCACCAGUAAAUGAGACACCAGGACACAGCAUAUACUUGCUUCCCGACUUCUGGAGCUAAUUAAAGUGCGACUUAAGCCAAGCCAAGCAAGUAGCAACUACCACCCAAGGUGGCGGCAAGGGGUUCGAGUUCAAGCUCACCAAGUGGCAGCCUCAUUACUUUGCUUGUGGAGAACACAAUGGUGUUCACUCCAACCUUGGCAUGAUGAAGUUUUUUGUCAUGCCUAUCUUUCGCUACUCAAAUUAAUCAAUCACUAGUACACCCUAGUUGUACUAAGUACUAACAACACCCGCCGAUUGCUUGCUAGGGAAAAUUAAAACCCGUUACUAUCAUACUCAAUUACUAUUUACAUUUUGUUUUGGUUAAGUAAGUAUUAUUCUAAUUUGGAAACAAAUUCAACUAUAUAGUUUAAUUUCUCGGUGAAAAUGUGGAAUUGGUUUCCGAAGGACCACCAUUAUUUGGUGGCCUUAAAAUCACGUGUCUGUUGCUAUCAUAGCAAGGAGUAAGUAUCUCAUUAAGCCUUAUCUUCGCCCAUGUAUCCCCUUAUAUUAUACGAAAUAUAUAUGUACAUGUAAAUA